AACGAACGCUGGCAGCAUGCCUAACACAUGCAAGUCGAACGAGACCUUCGGGUCUAGUGGCGCACGGGUGCGUAACGCGUGGGAACCUGCCCUUAGGUUCGGAAUAACUCCCCGAAAGGGGUGCUAAUACCGGAUAAUGUCUUCGGACCAAAGAUUUAUCGCCUUUGGAUGGGCCCGCGUUGGAUUAGCUAGUUGGUAGGGUAAAAGCCUACCAAGGCGACGAUCCAUAGCUGGUCUGAGAGGAUGAUCAGCCACACUGGGACUGAGACACGGCCCAGACUCCUACGGGAAGCAGCAGUGGGGAAUAUUGGACAAUGGGCGAAAGCCUGAUCCAGCAAUGCCGCGUGAGUGAUGAAGGCCUUAGGGUUGUAAAGCUCUUUUACCCGGGAUGAUAAUGACAGUACCGGGAGAAUAAGCUCCGGCUAACUCCGUG
rnacentral:rRNA from 1 species